rnacentral:tRNA from 2 species
GCCCCCGUAGCUCAGCGGAUAGAGCACGUGCCUUCUAAGCGCUUGGCCGCAGGUUCGAGUCCUGCCGGGGGCGCCA